GAUGAACGCUGGCGGCGUGCCUAAUACAUGCAAGUCGAGCGAACAGACGAGGAGCUUGCUCCUCUGACGUUAGCGGCGGACGGGUGAGUAACACGUGGAUAACCUACCUAUAAGACUGGGAUAACUUCGGGAAACCGGAGCUAAUACCGGAUAAUAUAUUGAACCGCAUGGUUCAAUAGUGAAAGACGGUUUUGCUGUCACUUAUAGAUGGAUCCGCGCCGCAUUAGCUAGUUGGUAAGGUAACGGCUUACCAAGGCAACGAUGCGUAGCCGACCUGAGAGGGUGACCGGCCACACUGGAACUGAGACACGGUCCAGACUCCUACGGGAGGCAGCAGUAGGGAAUCUUCCGCAAAGGGCGAAAGCCUGACGGAGCAACGCCGCGUGAGUGAUGAAGGUCUUCGGAUCGUAAAACUCUGUUAUUAGGGAAGAACAAAUGUGUAAGUAACUAUGCACGUCUUGACGGUACCUAAUCAGAAAGCCACGGCUAACUACGUG
rnacentral:rRNA from 1 species